rnacentral:misc_RNA from 1 species
CUUGUGUUUCAAAGCGCUGGCUUUCUCUUCUGAGUAAUAUGUCCAGGGAUGAACUCUGUGACAAGAAAACUACUCAAUUGUUGAAUGAAUCAGUUGAAAAGAAUGGUGAGGUGAAGUCUCGGGCUGAAAAUCAAGAAAUUGAGGGUGGUGGAUGCCUUUCCAGGUGCUUGGAGGGGAAGAAGGCCACUGAUAUUAGACUGUCAGCUAUUGCUGUUGGAACUGCUAGUCGAGGAGGUUUGGGAAAGCUUUCAAUCUGUGGAAACAAUUCUUACCAUGGGGUGACAAGUGCAGGUCUGAGGGCAAUUGCACGUGGCUGCCCUUCGCUUAAGGCUCUUACCUUAUGGAAAUUGCCUUUGGUUGGUGAUGAAGGUCUGUACGAGAUUGCUAAUGGCUGUCACAUGCUGGAGAAG